rnacentral:lncRNA from 1 species
UGGGGAUGAUGAUAGACAUACUUUCAGUUUUAUGAACAAAUCUGUAAGAAUGAUGUCAAUGGGCAGAGAGAAGCAGAGAUGGCAGAGAGAAACAGAGAGAGAGAGAGAGAGAAGUGAGGCCAUGGUUCCAGUUGUUGCUGACAUUGAGUUUUGAGUUGGUUUCCUGUCAUUCUCAGUCAGAGUUCGAAGUUAAGUGGUUCCAUCCUGUAUGGCGUUGCCUACCUCAUUUUCCUAUUUUGCUCAUCAGGAUUAUGACCGCAAGUCCCACGGAGUCUGAGUCAUGCUGUUCAUGUAACAAUCUCCAAAGGAGUCCCUUUACAUCAGACCACGAAAAGAUUAGUUGAAAAGAACCGAAAUAAGGAUACUAAUUGAAUUUAUUUAAUUGACUAUAUAAUCUUCUCCUUUUUUAUAUUUAGAAGGAUAGUCCUAGUUUCAACACGUACUGGAUUUAUGACUUGGGGUGAGACAUACCAUUAAGGACUUUUCCCCCCAUGAAAAUGGCAUAUAAAACUUUCUAUCAGUGAGUGCCCUGGAAUCCAGUGAUGCCAUUACACAACUGAGAAUAUAAUGUGUCUACUCUUCUGUCAAGCUUUGCAUCUUUUCCUUUUGGACGGAAUCCUUUCUGCACUGUUAGUCCUUCCAUGUGAUUUGAGUGAGACUGACCCUGCCUACCAACCCAGGGGUGGCCAACCAGAGUACUCUAUUUCCUGGCUACAAUGAUUGACUUAGUGAGGAGUCUGUGAUCCCAGAAGGGUUUGGGGAGUCAGAGGUUACAGGAAGGAUUCAUGGAAUCCCCAGAAGGCUGGAAGAUCAGGGUUGAGACAGUCGGAACCAAGGAAGCUCUGGAAACUUAAGAAGUAGGAGGCACAGCAAGUCUCACGGCAAGAAGAGCUUGAUAUGAGUACUAUUGGCUAGAGAAGUUUAGUAACUUUCCUGAAGUUUUACAGAAGAUAAGUAUAGAGUGGGAACUCAAAACUAUUUCUGUCUGAUUCCAAAGCCCUUUUAAUAUUUUGUAUUGCUUAAGUAGCAAGAAUAGAGUUUGUAAGAACAUACAAUAUCAAUAAAUGUUUCAUGUCCUUCAUCAUUAACUACUCCAGUUAGUAUCAACCGGGAACUUACUUGGAAUGUACAUUCUCUGCCCCCUCAACAGACCUACUGAAUCAAAAACUCUGGAGGUCAGGCCCAGAAAUCUGUCUUUUGGCAUACUUUCCAGGGUAAAAUGUUUAGCAUUCUGGUGUUUUUUCU